GGUGGGUUUGGUCACAGGCGCGCAUGCCCUUCAGUUCAGUCAGCAGAACUUAUGAGCAAAACCGAAUCCUACCUAGGACUCCGGUUAAUACUGCGGUCAAUCCGAGAUCAGUCAGAAUAUUUAGGCUACAUAUCUCUGGUUUACUAGGAGCCCGCAGCACUAGGCCCUAUGUCUUUAUUAUUAUUAUAUCAUUAUUACUGGCUACACCACAGCAUUGGCGGAGUCACGGGAGUAGGGAAACGGCAGCGCUCAAACCGCAGAUCACGGAGCCGCGACCCGGGACCGCCAGGCUGAGGAUGGGACUUCCUCCACCUCUAGUCCGUGCCAGUGCUGUGCGUCCACCCUGCCCUCCCUCCGCCAUGGGGCCCGCGUCCCUCACCGCGAAGCCUAGAAGCCGCCAGGGCCCAAGCUGCAGACCCGAGGGGCCAGCCACAAAGACCGGAAGUGCGCCCGGCGGCCUUCCGCUCGCGAACCCGGCAGCCUCUGCCCGCCACGCCCCUUUCUCGAAAUCAGCCAAUCAGCGCCGUGGGUUCUACUCUUCCUAUCGCUUCCCGGCUGUUUGGCUGCCCGAGUGCAGAGUGCCGCGAGAGGGUGCCCUGAGGAAUGUAGCUGUUAAAAGAAAGGAGGCAACACAGCGUGGUGAAAAACAACCUGAGUUUUGAAGUUUGGCCAAGAUUAGAAUCUUGAGGUACUAAUUACUAGUUACUUUAUUCAGUUUACUAGGUGUGUAUGUAUGUUGGAAAUUAUACUUUCUUAUACACAGUGGCUUCAAACAUAAAAUAGGCAUAUAAUUUUUAUGCUGCUAGGGAGGGUAAAACAAGAAAGAAUACACAACAAGUGAGAAAUAAAGAGAGUACAUACAGGUGCUCAGGUAGUGUCUGGCAUCUGUGGUUUUUAAUUAGGCCUUUAAUUAAAUAAGCAGCC
rnacentral:lncRNA from 1 species